CUUUCUCAAAGAAAAUAUAAUUUCAGUGUAUUUAACACAGGUUCUAUCGUAUUAUCCCUUGUUCAGAAAUAUUUUUAGAUGGCAUCCAAAACUCCAUAACCUUAUCCUGUCUCAAGAUCCAUUUCAUACCUCUCUUUUAUACCUCAAAAUAAUAAAAGCACAAUUUUAGCUCAUACUAAAUGUAAUAUUCACCCCUUACCCUUGGCAUUCUGGUAGCGUUAUUUUGUUGUGCAUCUAUGUUUUAUAACACUCUCUGUCGUCUUUGUGGAUAUAUCUUCUAUUUUGCUAAUUUCCAUAGCACCUAGUAUAGAGUACUAUACAUUAGUAGUCUCUUAAGAAGUGUUAUUUUCUUUCCUUUACACCAGUUAUUCCCAACAGAAGAGGACUUAGGAGAAAAUGAAUGAUUUUGCUUCCCAUGAAAUAUUUGGCAUCUGUCUGGAAACAGUUUUGGUUAUCACAAUGUGUGGGGGAGGUGAUAUUGCUACUGGCAUCUAGUGGAUAAGAAGCCAGAGAUGCUGCUGAAUAUCCUACUGAGUACAGGACAACCACAACCACCCUGAUACCACCCAACAAAGAAUUACCCAGCCCGAAAUGUCAAUAGUGCUGAGGUUAAGAAAUCCCAGGCCUAAGAGAGAUGACUCUUCCUUUGCUUAGGAUGUCCCUUCUAACUGGCCAUAUAGGUGCUCAUCCUUUAAGGGCCCCUCAAGUGCUAUUCCCUCAUUCAUUUUUUUCUCUUUAAUUUUUGAUAUCCUGUUAUGGUGAGACAAUAGAUAGGUCAGAGAUGAAUAGAAUCUACUUUUCUGCCUUCACGAAUUAUGUAAGUUAGUAGGGAAGCUGACUUGUAUAUAAACUGAAAUGUGUGAUAUUCCAUGCUUAUCUUGGACUGAUGAGAAAUUUUUCCAAGGCUUCAAACCCUAUCUGAUCUCAUUUAAACCCUCCUAUCUGCUGUGCUAUACUCAUAUACUAUUUACAUUUUAAGAAUUAUAUUAUUUUUUGUAGUUUUGAGUUCCUUUAUAAGCACCAUGAGUAUUAAUACUGUAUUUUCACAUUUAAAUUUUCUUCAGAUGAUACUUUAUACCUAUGUUUGAAACUAGAUUGACAAAGAGGAAGAAGACAUUUUGAGAUUAGAACACCUGUACAAAUUAUCAUUCCAAAAUGGGACAUUUCUGUGAGUGGAAAGGGUUAACCUGAUAAAAUAUUGGCCUAAUUUACAUGAACUGGUCAUACCAUUUAUUAUUGGGAAGACAAAUCAGCUAUUAGAAAAAGUAGACUAUCUGAACCCUAGAAUUAGGCAUAUUUACCCACCCACUUAUGGCAUAGUGGAAAAACCACAGUCUUUUCUGGGGAGAUCAGGCCCUGUACUGUAUAUGACAAAGAGAACAGAGGACAUCAAUCUUUGCCAGCAGGCCAGCUCCCAAGAAAAAGAAGGAGGGGGGCUGGGAUUGUAGCUCAGUGGUAGAGCACUUGCCUAAUAUGUGUGAGGCCCUGGGUUCGAUCCCCAACACCACAUAAAAUAAAUAAACAAAAUAAAGCAUUGUGUCCAUCUACAACUAAAACAUAUAUAUAUAUAUAAAACAGGCUUCUUUAAAAAAAAGAAAGAAAAAGAAAAAGAGGGAGGAGUUCAGCCAAGCAUACCUGCUUAUUUAUCCCAAUUUUACCAACCACAUACUCUACCUUAGAGAAUAAUAGGUGGUAGAGCAGAGUGAUACCAGGAAUGUGUGUUAGCAGAGCUUUUUAGACAUGGAAGGAAAACUGGAAAUGGGACAGACGCGUUGCUCUCCUCUUGUCAAUACUAUAUACUGUGUUAGUUAGCUUUUCAUUGCUGUUACCAGAAUUCCUGACGAGAACAACUUAGAGGAGAAAAGAUUUAUUUUGGCUCAUAGUUUCAUAGGUCUCAGUCCAUGGUCAGCUGACUCCAUUGCUCUGGGCCUGCCAUGAGGCAGAACACAAGGCAGGAGACUGUGGUAGAGAAAGACUGCCCAACUCAAGGC
rnacentral:lncRNA from 1 species